rnacentral:rRNA from 1 species
UACGUAGGGUGCGGGCGUUGUCCGGAAUUACUGGGCGUAAAGAGCUCGUAGGUGGUUUGUCGCGUUGUUCGUGAAAACUCACAGCUUAACUGUGGGCGUGCGGGCGAUACGGGCAGACUGGAGUACUGCAGGGGAGACUGGAAUUCCUGGUGUAGCGGUGGAAUGCGCAGAUAUCAGGAGGAACACCGGUGGCGAAGGCGGGUCUCUGGGCAGUAACUGACGCUGAGGAGCGAAAGCGUGGGGAGCGAACAGG